GGGGCACUCCCACAGGAAACAGAAAAAACUGAAUCAGUGUUGGGAAUAAUAGAUCUGUUUAAAGUAAAUGGUUCUAAGCCUUCUUGGACAUCUCCCUUACCCUUUGAGAGCAAAAGAGGGAAGGGAAACUGCAAAAGGCCUAUCAACUGUACAAUUCUUUGCUUCUGGAAGAAGAACAACCUGACAUCCUUAUCACUGGCAUUGCUAGGAGUGACAACUGAGAGUUGAUGGUUUGGGGGAACAUGAAAGCAGCGGGGGGGGGAUCCCUCUCUUUCUUCCCACCCUUCCCACCCAGUGAAGAGAAUGGAAACAUGAAACAUGGCAGGUCCACAUAAGCUAGCACUGAGCCAUGUGGCUGCUCCAACAAUUUCAUGACUAUAUCCUCUUAGUGUUAACAACUUGA